GCUCUCCUCUCCCUCGCCUCCCGAUCCCAACCGCCAGGCGCUCGAUCUGGUGCCGCGCCGGCCAUCCGGGCGCGGCGUCGAUGGAUCUGGCGGCGGGUGCGGCGUAUUGCUCCGGUGGCGACGGUGUCCUGCUGAUGCUAAGAGACCAGGGCAUGAGGGAGAUAGGAAGAAAUGAGGAUAAGGGGCACAAGGUGAGGGAGGCGGUCGCCGCCGCCGGCGGCUCCGGUGACCGGCCGGAGGGCAGGGAGAGGAGCUCCUGUUGAGGCUGCGGGGCUUGGUGGAUGCUGGUUCCUCCGGAUCGACCCCCUACUCAGAUCUGCACGCCCCUGAUGAUUGGAGGUGUGCUUUUCACAUGUUCGUUGAGUUGCUUAAUGACAUAAAAAAAUGAAAUCUGGAGUUAUGCAAUUGCAGCAACAAGGACGGAUGGCCAUCUUCACAGGUUAUGCCCCUUAUUGUAGUUUGCAUUCAGUCAUGUGCAGUAAUAAUGACAUAUUUGUUAGCCUGCUAGCUGUUUCCAGAUUUUUUUUAGACAUGAUUGACUGCUUCUACACAAAAGGAGUUUGUCGAAAAUAAGAGCAAUCCCACUGUUGCUACAGAGCCUGAAGAUUCUUUGCCUUUCUUUGAACUGUUUCAGUUUUUUCUUUCAUAUGGCUACAAUUAUUUGAUUGGUCCAUGUAGAUUUAGGCAACAUGAGAUGAGCCGAUGAUAUAUAUUGUAAUGUAUGAUGUCUAUUGCUACAAGUGUUGAUGUCUUGGUGAUGGCAGGUUUUGCAAGUAAUUGAAAUGCUUUUUGAGUAGACGAUAAUUAGAUAAAGUUCUACCUGAUCUUGAGGUAUGUGAAAGUGAACUCGGUGAUUUCGAGUAAUUCUAAGAGUAUACAUCUCAUCUAUCAGGUAUCCUUUUUUGAGUAAUGCUAAGAGGAUACAUCUCAUCUAUCAGGAAUUAAUCCAUCUCGUUUUCUCUGUGUUUACCUUGUUCUACAAAUGGCUAACUAGGUAAUGAUUAUUGAUAGCUAAUGACAUGAGGGAGAGGGGGACAAGCCCCUUUAGCUACUGCAAUACGGUUGUGCAUACAAAUGUGCUACUCAUAUUCCACUGUUAGACGAGCUAGCCGCGAGAAGCAGGUUGUAAGGGGAGCCAGAGAGGUGAGGGAGGUGACCAAAGCGGCAGCGGCCUUGGGGUGCCGAAGAAGAGUGCGCGGGAGGAUGGAAAGGGGCUCGUAUACGACGGCUGGAAGAGUGGUUGUGCAGAAGGAAGAUGUUGGUUGAAUGAGUCCCUUGGAGCCUAGCGGUGCUGCUCAGCCCUGUACAUGCCAUUGCCCGCCUCUGUGAGUAACUAGGAUCCUCACGCUACCAAUUUGGUCAUCCCUGGGAAACAUCAAGCAGAUCAUGAGACCGCAUCUUGAGAAGAAGCAUUAUUUACAACUCAGUAUUAUGUCAUGCAUGGAAGAAGCACUCGACCUUAUUACUAACUACUUCCUCUGUACACAAAUAUAUGACGUCUUAGACUGAACAUACAAGUCUCUAAAACGACUUAUAUUUAUGUACAGAGAGAGUAAUAACAUGUAAACAGGUGUGUUGCGUUCCUAUUCUGAUCGUGGAUUUCAAGCAUACUGCUAACAAAUGUUGGAGAG